GACUUUUUUCAUAAGAAAAUUCGUGAAAUACACAAAAGAAAACAGAAAAGUGGAAAAUAAAGAACAAAGCUCAAGUAGGCGCUGCGAACUAAACAGUCAGUUACUAAAUAUCCCAAAAACAGUCGCAUUCACUCCUCCGUUUGAAUAACAAAAUUAAAUAGCACCAGAGAGAAAAAUAUUAAAAGCAAGUGUGAAAUAAAUAAAGACCAAAAAUGGCAGAGACGGCCCAAAACCUUCAGGAUCGAUUCAAUACCUUUAUGAAUGGGCUAGGCGACCGCUAUGAGCCCUAUGUGCGGGAGCACCUGUCCAAGGUGUACAUGGUCCUCGCUAGCACUGCUGCUGCCACGGCUGUGGGAGCCUUACUCCAGAUGCGCGAACUGCUCGAUCUGGGCGUGCUGGCGGCAGUGGCCACCCUAAUCCUGGUCUUGGGUCUACACUUCUACAAGGAUGAUGGCAAAAACUAUACCACACGCCUAAGCAUGCUUUAUGCCUUUGGGUUCUGCUCCGGCCAGACCCUGGGUCCGCUCCUCGGCUAUAUUUGCAGCAUUAACCCGGCCAUCAUACUCACGGCCCUCACAGGCACAUUCGUUACCUUCAUAACGCUCUCCCUCGCUGCCCUUCUGGCUGAGCAGGGCAAGUACCUCUACUUGGGCGGGAUGCUGGUCAGCGUUAUAAACACCAUGGCCCUUUUGAGUCUCUUCAACAUGAUCUUCAAGUCGUACUUUGUGCAAGUGACUCAACUCUAUGUGGGAGUUUUCGUGAUGGCCGCCUUUAUUGUUUACGACACCCAAAACAUUGUGAUGAAGUGCCGAAAUGGAAAUCGCGAUGUUGUCCAGCACGCCCUUGACCUUUUCUUCGACGUUCUCAGCAUGUUCCGUCGUUUGCUGAUUAUCCUGACUCAAAAGCUCAAGUCCUUCAUGGUUUGAACCUAUUUGUGGCGAAGCGAGAUCCGAUAAUCGCCGAACAGUCGCUGAACACUUUGCAAAUGUUUUCCAAAACUAGCUAAAUAAGAUCAAACGGAGGAGCGGAAACAGUCCGAACGUCGCAAGAGGAACUAAGCCAAGUUUAUAAAAUUACCAUGCAGUGAAGACACUUUAAUGAAACCAUAGAGGACUUUGGAAGCUGGCAAUUUCUCCUUUUAUCAAUUUAUUCGAAUGAAGAAUAAAACAUAGCCGUGUAUAUUUGGCUUUAAAUUUAUAUGAAACGACGUUCACUGUAAAACCACUUAGAAAUUCCCAAUUUAAUAAAACCCACUAAAAAAAGAAA